rnacentral:rRNA from 1 species
UACGUAGGGUGCGAGCGUUGUCCGGAAUUACUGGGCGUAAAGAGCUCGUAGGUGGUUUGUCGCGUUGUUCGUGAAAACUCACAGCUUAACUGUGGGCGUGCGGGCGAUACGGGCAGACUGGAGUACUGCAGGGGAGACUGGAAUUCCUGGUGUAGCGGUGGAAUGCGCAGAUAUCGGGAGGAACACCAGUGGCGAAGGCGGCUCACUGGACCGGAACUGACGCUGAGGCGCGAAAGCGUGGGGAGCAAACAGGG